AGGGUCGCGCACAUCGAGUUUUUAUUUUGUUGUUGCGGCGCUUCUUACAUCGCCGUCUCCUCACUGCGAGACGCACAACUGUUCGUUGCACGCCGCUCUUACGCGCUGCGGGAAAAGAGCGUCCUGCGCUUCCGUUUUGGGGCUGUGCGCUUCUCCGUUUCCGGCGGCGCCCGCUCUCCCAACUUCCAUCUCAACUCCUUUUAGCACGUGGGCACAGUGUGUCACUGGGCACCCCUUCCCCGCAUUAUUUCCGUGGAUUCGCUCUUGCCUGCUAUUCCAUCAGCCCCCCAUCACCACCACUACCACGACCAACCCUUCCGCCCCACACCAUGCAACGCAUCUCUUCGCUCGACGAGCUAUUGCAGCACGUGGAAUCACUCUCCCACCACAGCCGGUGCGCGACUCUCGUAGAGUUUGGCCGCUGCAGCAUCACUGCAACAGCGCGAGAGCCGAGGGAUCUUCAGAAUGUCAUCACAACGCUCGGCGCACCGUCGCAAGGGCACUACCAGCACUUUCUUGCUGCCUGUGCGUUGUGCGGUGCCUUCGCAGAGACCCAAAGAAUUGGGCGGGCCAUGCCGGCCGCGCUGCUAGAGACGGCGUCGUCACUGCUGGAGGAUGCAUCUCUGAAGGUAUCGCAGCUGUUGAUGACUUGCAUGCUAAUCUCGACCACAAGCGACGACCCGCAAAAAGCAGCGAUGGCAAUCAACUUUUUACAGGGCGCCCGACUUCCUCAGUUCAAGUGCCUGGUCACCCGACUGGCGCAAGCACAGCAGACGCAGGUGCUCCUGCGGCUCUACCAGACGCACACAGUGACGGACCCCGCCAAGAUGCAGCUGCUACUCGGAUCCUUGAGCCCGGAAGCUUUCGAACAGCUGCCGAAAGAAGAGCAGGCUACUCUUGGCAUCGUGGCACUUCGUCUCUUGUGUCGUCAUCAUCCUCAGUGGGUAGCGCAGUACUUGACGGCUCGGGUAUACGAGCAGGUAAGCCUCAACACGGUUGUGGACGCGGCGCUGAAGGAGCUGGUUCAGAAAGCGUGCGUGUUUCUCGCCACCCGCGGUGCAUUGAAAGACAGCCUCUCCCUCUUCACUGCCACCGCGCACCUUCUCGGCCUGGACCAACCCACUCUGCAGACCGUGCUGGAGCGCUACUACGUCUCCACCUUUCCCGUGGAAAUCGGCCACUAUCUGCUCGAGGGAGAGGGUCGGCACAUGUUGGCGACCUUUUCGGAACCCUUGAACUGCCUGAUAUCGCGUCGGGCCUGGAGACGCCUUGGCGGACACACGGACCUCAUCCUAAGACUUCUGGACAAAAGCAUUCUCUCCAAUGAGCCCGUCGACUUGCUGAACAUGCUUCCUGAUGCGCGGCGCGCCUACUUUGCGCGUGGCUGCAGGGAGCUGCAAGACACUCGUGGGAUUCCGCAUAUAAACUGGAUUUUUUGCAUGCCAUCUGCGGCGGAGCGAACAGCCUUCGCCCACCGCUUCUACAAUCACGCGAAACUGCAAGACCUCCCGAACGAGCGCAUCGAAUACCUUUCUUUCCUGCCAUUCCCGGAAGCAAUACAGAUCGGGGCCGCGUACGUGACCAGCAGCGACGCUACGAUUCGGUCCCAGCUGAUUCGCGCGUGCGUUGGCUCCCUCAGGUACUACCCCGAGCACCUGCCAGCGGCCCUCGCGUUUUGUGCGCAGCGGCCAAAGGAGCAGGAUGGAUGGCGUCGCGAGAUGUUCAAGGCGUGGGCUGCGCUGCCACACGGCUUCUGGAGGCGUACGGCCACGCACAUUUCCGAUAACACCUUGCAGGACACGCUCACACAGCUCAUCCAAGCUGCCUACAGCGCCAAAGACAUGUCUGACCGCACUCUGCGAGCGCUGGAGAAGCUCCUCUUCCGCCUCGUUGGGCCGCAGACAAACUUUGCGGUCAGCCAACUUGCCACGCUUAUCCGCAAACGAAAACAGUUCACUGCCUGCAAUGGCGACUGGGAUGACUUUCUCCAGUUAGCUCAGCUGUACCCGCGUGCUGUACCUGUCCUGGUGGCAUCGCUGCUUCCGCUUGCGCAGAUGCUGCUAGACAGCGACAACAUGUGGGCGACUAUACGCAUCCUGGAAUCCCUUCUCGACAACAAAACUGUCGUCAAAGUACUUCGGCGAGAGGCGCCUGCGCCGAGCAACGGUGAGCCCGAGAUUUGGACGAUGGUGCAUGACGUGCUACAAGCCGGUAUGUCCUCGACAGACAGCGGUGUGGCGGCGGUUUCCUUGAGGCUUUACGCCAGGCACUUUGCACAGCAACUGGCGGUCGAGCUUCCGGACCUCAUCGCCCAAAGGAAAGACUGGAUUACUGUCAGCAGGGUGCAGCGCCUGGUGUGUGACGUUCUGCAGGGACCGCUGUUGGACAUGCUCGUGAUCCCCAUCGAAAACAUCCCCACCGGUCGCUUCUACCACGCAAACAGCAAGUCGCUCGCGUUUGUGUGUGAGCUGCCGGUGGAGAACGCACACCGGUGGACGGCUCGCCAGCAGAUCCGCUACGCGCAGUCUUGCCUGCAAGCCAUAUACACCCCGCUUGCUUUGGAGGCUUUCCAAUGCAGCCGGCUCAUCAAGAAUCUCGCCAGGUUGCCCUCCGUAUCCUCCACGACAAGUUGGACAGACGCAGAUGGAAACGCACGGAGUUUGCUCACCUUGGCAACGGACGCGCAUCCUGAGCAUGGGGAGUAUGCGAUGCGGUUUGCGCUGCAGGCGCUCGGCCAGCUGGAUGGCGAUGCCGCAGCCGUGCAAGCCUUACAGAAUGCGCUAGAUGUGGCGGACCAACGCAUGGACGCUCUUCGAGCACUCGCCACGGCGCUGCGGCGCGCACCGAGCGCCGAGGCGGUGCGCGUUCUCGAGCCAGUCCUCACGGGGAAGCAAGUGACGGCUCAGAAGGAGGCACUUCACCUUCUUGGCGCGAAGUGCGACAAUGUGGCGUACGCGCGUAUCGUGCAGUUUGCCGCCGAGCGUCAUCUACCGAUGCCUGCAGAAGAGGACGGUGACUGUGGAGGAGUCGCGGCACUCUCUGCAACAGCUGCCACGGCGCCUGGAUCGACGGAGGAGGCUGUGCUGACUAUGCAUCGCGAUGUGCGAGCCGCUUUAGUGACCGCGCUCUUCCACUUUCUGGACAAGCCGCAGGUGUGGUCAUACUACGCCUUCAUUGUAACGCACGACCAAGUGGCAGAGCAAUGUGCGGUGGCUGCCGCGGAGUCAGCUAUCAAUGCACGCGAAGAAAGCGAUGGUGACACGGAUGAUGCGAGCACUGCCGACUCUUAUGAGAAGCAAGUGACCACUCCAUCCUCAGCGGCUUGCGUGGCUAUGUCAACCUUGCCGUGGGCGCUGCUCCGGCUGCCGUGGCAGGUGCGGGAGUACCAGGUGCUUCUUCGACGACUUCUUCGCCACCCGGUGCGCGACGUUCGCGUCUCGGCACUGCACAAGCUUGCCACAGUGCCGCCGUACGACGACCUGGAGCUGUGCAAGGCGAUUGCAGAGUACCUGGAUGAGUGCACCUCACCGGAAAUCGUUCAGUCUGUGCUCAGGUGCAUGCUUAGGUGCACCGCCGAGGAAGCGGCGCCGUUUCUCAUCUCUGUCAUCUUCACCGUCCAGCCCGACGCGUCCCUCGAGAGUGUGGCGAGUGUGCUGUGUGGAAUCAUGAGAUGCGCUGCGGCGCACGAACACAAGCUGCUGCGCACUGUUGCGACUGAGGUUGCGGAGCAACUCAUCGCGGCCCGCCGCCAGCCAACGAUCGCGGUCUCGCUGAUUUUCGAAUUGGACAUCUCGGAGUGGGUGUCGCGGCUGACGACGAUGGAAGCAGCUGGGCUGAUGCAUCCUGGGGCAGCAGCGGCUGUGAUCAGAGCGGUGCAAGGUGACUCCUCUGCCAUCCGCGACAUGGAUGCCGCGGAAAGACUGGAGCAGGCAGUGCUGAGAAAGCACCCUUCUGCCCUUAUGCGCCGUCUCGGCUUGGCGAUUCUUCUCGAAGCAUGUGAGAAACGCGGCUGGAGUGAAGAUCGUAAGCUGUCUCUGCGAUUAUACUGCAAAGACACGGACUUGUGGGUCUCCUCCGACGCCCGUAUGGUACGACAGGAGUAAUCUAUGCUGAGCACGAUGCGCGCAAGGCGCCUUGGCCCCGCGAAUGGUAUGCCUCCUGAGGCAGAAGUCUCUCGUCGUCGAGGAGCGCCACCGGAUGUGUUCCUGGACAGCCCCUCUUUGUUUUCUUUUUCGCUUGCAACUCUUACAUUUUCAGCCCGCCCCACCACCCCCCCUCCGUGUGUGUGUGUGUGUGUGCUCUUGCUCUUCUUCUCCCUGACGACAACCUCCAUACUGCCGGGGGGGGGGGGGGGGGGGGGGCACACCUCGUCCUGUGGCAUCACAGGGUUCAGUACACCACAUUCUUGCGCAAGCCGAGCAGCCUGCAAAGUCUGCCCUUGUGUACGGCUGCAUAUUCUUGGUGUUGGCAGAGCAGGUCUGAGCUGGCGGUGUGCCGGAGAGACUCGCGGGCACGAUCCCGCUUGUAUCAGCUCACUAAGAGUAGUGUCAGCGAUUGAACACCGCUGCGCCUCCACCUCCUGUUUUACGCUCCUGUUUCAGCUGCGUUGCGGUGGUGUAGAGCGUAAGCAUGAGCUCAGCGUGUCCGCUUUAUGCAGUGGCGUCACAGUGGGCUGAGCGACACCCGGCAGUGCUGGUUGGGCCGGCUCCUUGGCAUAGCCACAGUGCAGCAGAGGUGGUUGGGCCGUGAUUGUAUGUGCGUGUAUAUUUGAUGACCUGCUCGUGGUGCAAUGAUAUCUUCGUUGAACUAUUCCUAGCAGUAGUGCUUCGCUUUAUUUUGACACCUUCACUCUCGUUAUCUCUGACCGUGCCAUUACAUCCCUGCGUGCCAGUGUGUUGCGGUCUGCGAUUUUGGUGCGCUGGUCAG
rnacentral:misc_RNA from 1 species